CACAGGUGAGGUCCUGUGGUCAGACAAUCCUUCUUCCUUAUCAAGGGGACCGGUUGUAGGCUCUCAGCUACAGUUUGCCUUCCCCUCCAGAGAGACGUGGUACACUUUACCUGGCUACCCAUGGGAUACCUCAACAACUCUGCCAUUGCAGUCUUUGCAGGCAAUACCUUAACUGCGUCCAGUUGUCUCCAGGAGCACAGGAGAAUUCAGAGGCUGAGGGAAUCUCUUUUGGUAUUUCAUGGUGCAGCCCAGGGGAAGAAGUGAUGCAGGUAUAAUGUG